rnacentral:rRNA from 1 species
AUGGGAUCGAUUGGCAACAGGAUACCUGAAGUUGGUAUGCGGUUCAGAAAUUCGGAUGAGGCUUGGGAGUUCUGGGUGCAAUAUGGAGGUCACAUAGGCUUUGAUGUGAGGAAAAGAAAUACCAUCAGAAGCAGAAUUGAUGGAACAAUCACUUCAUGUAGAUUUGUUUGUUGCAAUGAAGGCAUUCGAAGGAAAAGUCAAAUAGAUCACGAGCCGAAGCGCAUUAGAGCUGAAAUUUUUAAUACGACGUUUCGAUAUGCCGCCAUUUUGGAAUCUUUUGCAUCGAACUCUCCAUUUAUCUGGGAUAUUGCGAGGUUUGAAUCACCGCGCACCUCGACGCAUUGUAUGCCUAUCGAGAGGCCAUUCGGAGACCGUGUAGAAGUGCCUCGUAUUCGGCUGCGUUAUUGGAGUCUGUAUACAUUAUCUGCAGCACGUAGCGGACUGUGUACCCCGUGGGGGAUGUCAAUAUGA